rnacentral:rRNA from 1 species
UACGUAGGUGGCAAGCGUUGUCCGGAUUUAUUGGGUUUAAAGGGUGCGUAGGCGGCUUUUUAAGUCAGUGGUGAAAGCCGAUCGCUUAACGAUCGAACUGCCAUUGAUACUGAGAGGCUUGAGUAUAGUUGAGGUAGGCGGAAUUGACAGUGUAGCGGUGAAAUGCAUAGAUAUGUCAUAGAACACCGAUUGCGAAGGCAGCUGACAAAACUGUAACUGACGCUGAUGCACGAAAGUGCGGGGAUCAAACAGG